rnacentral:rRNA from 1 species
UACGUAGGGUGCAAGCGUUGUCCGGAAUACUGGCGUAAAGCGUGCGCAGGCGGUUAUGCAAGACAGAUGUGAAAUCCCCGGGCUACAACCCUGGGAACUGCAUUUGUGACUGCAUGGCUGGAGUGCGGCAGAGGGGGAUGGAAUUCCGCGUGUAGCAGUGAAAUGCGUAGAUAUGCGGAGGAACACCGAUGGCGAAGGCAAUCCCCUGGGCCUGCACUGACGCUCAUGCACGAAAGCGUGGGGAGCAAACAGG